rnacentral:rRNA from 1 species
GGUUAAGCGACUAAGCGUACACGGUGGAUGCCCUGGCAGUCAGAGGCGAUGAAGGACGUGCUAAUCUGCGAAAAGCGUCGGUAAGGUGAUAUGAACCGUUAUAACCGGCGAUGUCCGAAUGGGGAAACCCAGUGUGUUUCGACACACUAUCAUUAACUGAAUCCAUAGGUUAAUGAGGCGAACCGGGGGAACUGAAACAUCUAAGUACCCCGAGGAAAAGAAAUCAACCGAGAUUCCCCCAGUAGCGGCGAGCGAACGGGGAGGAGCCCAGAGCCUGAAUCAGUGUGUGUGUUAGUGGAAGCGUCUGGAAAGGCGUGCGAUACAGGGUGACAGCCCCGUACACAAAAAUGCACAUGCUGUGAGCUCGAUGAGUAGGGCGGGACACGUGGUAUCCUGUCUGAAUAUGGGGGGACCAUCCUCCAAGGCUAAAUACUCCUGACUGACCGAUAGUGAACCAGUACCGUGAGGGAAAGGCGAAAAGAACCCCGGCGAGGGGAGUGAAAAAGAACCUGAAACCGUGUACGUACAAGCAGUGGGAGCCUCUUUAUGGGGUGACUGCGUACCUUUUGUAUAAUGGGUCAGCGACUUAUAUUCUGUAGCAAGGUUAACCGAAUAGGGGAGCCGGAGGGAAACCGAGUCUUAACUGGGCGUUAAGUUGCAGGGUAUAGACCCGAAACCCGGUGAUCUAGCCAUGGGCAGGUUGAAGGUUGGGUAACACUAACUGGAGGACCGAACCGACUAAUGUUGAAAAAUUAGCGGAUGACUUGUGGCUGGGGGUGAAAGGCCAAUCAAACCGGGAGAUAGCUGGUUCUCCCCGAAAGCUAUUUAGGUAGCGCCUCGUGAAUUCAUCUCCGGGGGUAGAGCACUGUUUCGGCAAGGGGGUCAUCCCGACUUACCAACCCGAUGCAAACUGCGAAUACCGGAGAAUGUUAUCACGGGAGACACACGGCGGGUGCUAACGUCCGUCGUGAAGAGGGAAACAACCCAGACCGCCAGCUAAGGUCCCAAAGUCAUGGUUAAGUGGGAAACGAUGUGGGAAGGCCCAGACAGCCAGGAUGUUGGCUUAGAAGCAGCCAUCAUUUAAAGAAAGCGUAAUAGCUCACUGGUCGAGUCGGCCUGCGCGGAAGAUGUAACGGGGCUAAACCAUGCACCGAAGCUGCGGCAGCGACGCUGAUGCGUUGUUGGGUAGGGGAGCGUUCUGUAAGCCUGUGAAGGUGUGCUGUGAGGCAUGCUGGAGGUAUCAGAAGUGCGAAUGCUGACAUAAGUAACGAUAAAGCGGGUGAAAAGCCCGCUCGCCGGAAGACCAAGGGUUCCUGUCCAACGUUAAUCGGGGCAGGGUGAGUCGACCCCUAAGGCGAGGCCGAAAGGCGUAGUCGAUGGGAAACAGGUUAAUAUUCCUGUACUUGGUGUUACUGCGAAGGGGGGACGGAGAAGGCUAUGUUGGCCGGGCGACGGUUGUCCCGGUUUAAGCGUGUAGGCUGGUUUUCCAGGCAAAUCCGGAGAAUCAAGGCUGAGGCGUGAUGACGAGGCACUACGGUGCUGAAGCAACAAAUGCCCUGCUUCCAGGAAAAGCCUCUAAGCAUCAGGUAACAUCAAAUCGUACCCCAAACCGACACAGGUGGUCAGGUAGAGAAUACCAAGGCGCUUGAGAGAACUCGGGUGAAGGAACUAGGCAAAAUGGUGCCGUAACUUCGGGAGAAGGCACGCUGAUAUGUAGGUGAAGCGACUUGCUCGUGGAGCUGAAAUCAGUCGAAGAUACCAGCUGGCUGCAACUGUUUAUUAAAAACACAGCACUGUGCAAACACGAAAGUGGACGUAUACGGUGUGACGCCUGCCCGGUGCCGGAAGGUUAAUUGAUGGGGUCAGCGCAAGCGAAGCUCUUGAUCGAAGCCCGGUAAACGGCGGCCGUAACUAUAACGGUCCUAAGGUAGCGAAAUUCCUUGUCGGGUAAGUUCCGACCUGCACGAAUGGCGUAAUGAUGGCCAGGCUGUCUCCACCCGAGACUCAGUGAAAUUGAACUCGCUGUGAAGAUGCAGUGUACCCGCGGCAAGACGGAAAGACCCCGUGAACCUUUACUAUAGCUUGACACUGAACACUGGUCCUUGAUGUGUAGGAUAGGUGGGAGGCUUUGAAGUGUGGACGCCAGUCUGCAUGGAGCCGUCCUUGAAAUACCACCCUUUAAUGGCUGGUGUUCUAACGUAGGCCCCUUAUCGGGGUUGCGGACAGUGUCUGGUGGGUAGUUUGACUGGGGCGGUCUCCUCCUAAAGAGUAACGGAGGAGCACGAAGGUUGGCUAAUCCUGGUCGGACAUCAGGAGGUUAGUGCAAUGGCAUAAGCCAGCUUGACUGCGAGCGUGACGGCGCGAGCAGGUGCGAAAGCAGGUCAUAGUGAUCCGGUGGUUCUGAAUGGAAGGGCCAUCGCUCAACGGAUAAAAGGUACUCCGGGGAUAACAGGCUGAUACCGCCCAAGAGUUCAUAUCGACGGCGGUGUUUGGCACCUCGAUGUCGGCUCAUCACAUCCUGGGGCUGAAGUAGGUCCCAAGGGUAUGGCUGUUCGCCAUUUAAAGUGGUACGCGAGCUGGGUUUAGAACGUCGUGAGACAGUUCGGUCCCUAUCUGCCGUGGGCGCUGGAGAACUGAGGGGGGCUGCUCCUAGUACGAGAGGACCGGAGUGGACGCAUCACUGGUGUUCGGGUUGUCAUGCCAAUGGCACUGCCCGGUAGCUAAAUGCGGAAGAGAUAAGUGCUGAAAGCAUCUAAGCACGAAACUUGCCCCGAGAUGAGUUCUCCCUGACCCUUUAAGGGUCCUGAAGGAACGUUGAAGACGACGACGUUGAUAGGCCGGGUGUGUAAGCGCAGCGAUGCGUUGAGCUAACCGGUACUAAUGAACCGUGAGGCUUAACCUU